AUCAGUGGAAAGGCCACAUGGGGACAAAGCAGCCAUCUAGCAGCCAGAAGGAGAGCCCUCACCAGAAACUGAACACUGCUGGAAUCUUUAUCUUGAACUCUCCAGCCUCUAGAAUGAUGAGAAAAUAAAGGCCAAGUGCACACAGAGCACCUCACUGGAAGAAUCUGAGUCACCUCAUCCUUCUGAAACAAUUCUGGAAGUCUACCACCAUCUGCACAGCUUUCGUGGCAGCAAAUUAAUCCAGGGAAAAAUAAGCAAAUAAGACUGGCUCAGGGAAACACAGCAAGUAAGUGAAAAAUCCUUGAAUUAAACAAUUUAAGAAGACAUUGAGUGUGGGAACUUAGAAGAGUGGGUAAAGUAAAAAGAAGAAAGAAAACCUCAAAUACAAAAUCAAUGUAAAGAGACAUCUUGCUCAGGUGGCUUACCCUGUUGUUACUUAUCUAGUAUUUAAAUGUCCAAGUGUCUGUUUCUUUGGAGAAAAAACUUUAUAGAAAGUACCUCCUUCAUAGCGCUGUUUAUAAGAAAAUGUGCAUCUGACAGGAAGUCUAUUUUUUGAGGACUGUGAUCUGCAGAGAAAACACUUAGAAGGACACAAUCAAAGCAAAGCCUAUACAUUUUGUGGAUAAGUGAUCCAAACCUAAGACAGUUACAAAGAAAAUGGCUCUCAGCUGUUUACAGCCAGACUUCAGGCCUUCUGUGGAUUUCUUUGGCAUUACAUCACUAAGUUAAUAUAUCAUCACUUGACAUUUAAUAAUAAAUACCUGAUGAAAUUA
rnacentral:antisense_RNA from 1 species